AGGAUGAACGCUGGCGGUCUGCUUAACACAUGCAAGUCGAACGGGCGUAGCAAUACGUUAGUGGCGGACGGGUGAGUAACGCGUGAGAAUCUACCUUCAGGACGGAGACAACAGUUGGAAACGACUGCUAACCCCCGAUGUACUGAAAAGGCAAAUAUUUAUAGCCUGAAGAAGAGCUCGCGUCCGAUUAGCUAGUUGGAGAGGUAAAAGCUCACCAAGGCGACGAUCGGUAGCUGGUCUGAGAGGACGAUCAGCCACACUGGGACUGAGACACGGCCCAGACUCCUACGGGAGGCAGCAGUGGGGAAUUUUCCGCAAUGGGCGAAGGCCUGACGGAGCAAGACCGCGUGGGGGAAGAAGGCUCUUGGGUUGUAAACCCUUUCUCUGGGAAGAAAGUUGUGAAAGCAGCCUGACGGUACCAGAGGAAUCAGCAUCGGCUAACUCCGUAGCCAGCAGCCGC
rnacentral:rRNA from 1 species